GGGGAAUUUUGGACAAUGGGCGAGAGCCUGAACCAGCCAAGUCGCGUGAAGGAAGACUGCCUUAUGGGUUGUAAACUUCUUUUAUACAGGAAUAAAAAGGCUUACGUGUAGGCCAUUGCAAGUACUGUAUGAAUAAGCAUCGGCUAACUCCGUGCCAGCAGCCGCGGUAAUACGUAGGGUGCGAGCGUGUAAUCGGAAUUACUGGGCGUAAAGCGUGCGCAGGCGGUUUUGUAAGACAGGCGUGAAAUCCCCGGGCUCAACCUGGGAACUGCGCUGGUGACUGCAAGACUAGAGUACGGCAGAGGGGGGUGGAAUUCCACGUGUAGCAGUGAAAUGCGUAGAGAUGUGGAGGAACACCAAUGGCGAAGGCAGCCCCCUGGGUCGAUACUGACGCUCAUGCACGAAAGCGUGGGGAGCAAACA
rnacentral:rRNA from 1 species